GACGAACGCUGGCGGCGUGCCUAAUACAUGCAAGUCGAACGAAGCUGUUUUAACUGGUGCUUGCACCGACUUAAACAACUGAGUGGCGAACGGGUGAGUAACACGUGGGUAACCUGCCCCAAAGCGGGGGAUAACAUUUGGAAACAGAUGCUAAUACCGCAUAACCACAGAAACCACAUGGUUUCUGUGUCAAAGAUGGUUUCGGCUAUCACUUUGGGAUGGACCCGCGGCGUAUUAGCUAGUUGGUAAGGUAAUGGCUUACCAAGGCAAUGUUACGGAGCAGAACUGAGAGGUUGAUAGGCCACAUUGGGACUGAGACACUGCGCAAACUCCUACGAGAGGCAGCAGUAGGGAAUCUUCCACAAUGGACGAAAGUCUGAUGGAGCAACGCCGCGUGAGUGAAGAAGGUUUUCGGAUCGUAAAUCUCUGUUGUCAGAGAAGAACGUGUGCGAGAGUAACUGCUCGUGCAGUGACGGUAUCUGGCCAGAAAGCCACGGCUAACUACGUGCCAGCCGCCGCGGUAA
rnacentral:rRNA from 1 species